UUUUUAGUAUGAAAAAUAGGGUUUGUUGUCCAUGGCAGUUUUCUUUUUUCAUCCUUUCAUCCUUUUCAUGUUCCAUCUGAGAAGUGUAAAGGCUGAUUGUGCGAUAUGUGUCGGAUACAAAUACAUUUGGAUUUUGAAGAUUGGUGUUACUAAAUAACUCCUGUACUAUAGUAAUCAAAAAGCUGUUUCAUAUAGUUUUUAGACAAAUGCAUUCUGGGAGAAAACAAAGCUAGCAGAUGGGCUGACACUGUAAAUGGUCUUCAAGCCAACAGAGCUUUUUACUCAAUCAUGCCAACUUCAUUCCUUUACUGAGGAAUUUCGGUCAUUUAAUUUUACUGUUUGAGAUAAACAGCCUACAGGAACCUCUCGCGCUCACAGUGAUUGAAGGGAUUAAGAGACAAUUUUGUGAGUUUUGAGGCUUUCAAUUUCUUCGUAAUUAUCAAAAUCCUAAAACUUGAAUUUGUCAGACUAAUGGGCAGAACAGAUGGCAUAGAUUUGCCACAAAUGUUUCAACUCAUUCAUCAACACUUGGAGUGAGUUCUUCUUAUGUACUGUAGUAGUUAGAACCAAUUUUAACGUCACUUAAAUCUUAGAAAGCAGUUGUACUGAGUAUAUGAUAUCAAUUCAGUUUGUUACAACAUUUUAUUUCUUAAAAUAUGUUAGAUCCUUGCUACAAUGCUCAACACUUCAUCUUUUUUCUGUAAAACGUCUAAUUGAUUUGGACUUCCUUAGAAAUACAACAGCCUUAAAUUACUUAAGUGAUUUACAAAUGUGAGUAUGUCCACAAUUCCAUACCUGAUUAUUAGCCAUAUGAAUUUUUGACUGGCAUGAUGAUGUUCUACUGCAUGAACUCAGUCCACAGCUGUUAACUCAGUGAAGUUGAUAUUUUAAUGGGCAGUUUUUAAGUGCUGUAGACUGCAUUUAGCAUAUCAUUUAUAUAGCUCUAAGGGCAAGUGAGGUCUAUGCCCUGCAUUAACCCACUGUACCUUUUAAUUGAGUGGUUUUAAGAUUUUAUCACCCAGGCUUUAAUGAUAUGGUUCUUUUGUUUUGGUGUUGAUCCAUUUACUCUGUGGCACAUUCAGAAGAGAUUGUAAGUGAUGCUGGCAGCAUCAUAUUACACUUCGGUCUCCUCUGCUAUGAUUUAUUCUCGUCCAACCAACAGAUCAUGAUUAUGGUUCUGUACAGUGCUUCAUUAUAAAUAAUUCAUACUUACAUGUUUUCUCAAGCAGCUAUUUACAGCUCGACCUUACAUGUCCUUCCAUUAUCUUAUUAAAACCCAGUUUUAAAUGCAUAGCUUAUUUCAGCCUCUCUUAUCAUCAGCAAUACACUGUCGGCAAGCCAUAUUUUUUGCCAUUAUUUACUUUUCUCUAAUAUCCUAUUUUUCUUCAUAUAGUGGAGACACUAUUGAAGAGAAAUGGAUAUUAGAAAAAAG